rnacentral:tRNA from 1 species
AAUAAAGUGCCUGAUAAUAGGGUCACUAUGAUAGGGUGAAUCAUGUGGUAUAGACCACCUUUAUUA